ACAAAGUGUACAUUGCUCAAAGAAAACAUAAAAUCUGAAGAACGGGUGUUUAUAGAACAGCAAGUUUACCUAUUUUAGGCCUCCAGGAAUCUUGACCUCUUGAUGCCUGGAACUCAUCUGAAGGGCCAAAAAAGUUUUGCAAGCAAUUAAAAUAGAAUGAAUUGUUGAUGUAUACCGUUAAUAUCCUAAGGACAUGAGUGACUGUCUGGUUCAACGCCGUGACAUGGAUAAAAGUACUAAGUCAGGUUCAACAAUCAAGCCCAUUAAGACAGGCUUACCUUCAUGGAGCCUGAAUUAUUCGUCAUAGGAGGAAUACACAUGUCUGUCCACACACCUGGAAAAGCAAUUUGUACUAUUCAUGGUUGCAAACAUUAUCACUACCAAAGAAUAGGAAACAAGCAUGCGUAAAUUGUUCAAUGCUUAAUAGGCAUGAGUUUAUAACUAUAGAGUCACGCUUAUAACUGUUGACCGAUUGAGCUGGACCUGAAGUGACAGUGUUGACCGAUGCUACAUUGUUAAGCUUUUUGUUGACUGGGUGAUUAUCAUAACUAAUCUAUCAACCAAUGCGUAUGAAAUGCAGUGGAGGAGAAUCUCAUGUGCUGGUUGCUGAGUAUAUCAAGUGGCUAUCUUGCACACCUGGGUUGUGCGAACAAUAUUGGCAUCUCUUUAAAACCCAGAAACAAGAGUAGCCAUGGACUGACUAAUCAAGGUUUAAUAUGAAGUUCAAAAGAAAGCAACCAUAAAGUAGUAACAGUAGUAAUACAUGGAUCUUGAGAUAAGGUAAGGAAGAGUAGUAACAGUACAUAGCAAUCAGGUUUUGUAGAGAAGGGUACUACAAUUUUGGUGCCACACAUAAAAAUAGUAGGAAAUAAAUAGUGGCAUAACAAAGUGUACAUUGCUCAAAGAAAACAUAAAAUCUGGAGAACAUGUGUUUAUAGAACAGCAAGUUUACCUAUUUUAGGCCUCCUGGAAUCUUGACCUCUUGAUGCCUGGAACUCAUCUGAAGGGCCAAAAAAGUUUUGCAAGCAAUUAAAAUAGAAUGAAUUGUUGAUGUAUACCGUUAAUAUCCUAAGGACAUGAGUGAUUGUCUGGUUCAAUGCCGUGACAUGGAUAAAAGUACUAAGUCAGGUUUAACAAUCAAGCCAUUAAGACAGGCUUACCUUCAUGGAGCCUGAAUUAUUCGUCAUAGGAGGAAUACACAUGUCUCUCCACACACCUGGAAAAGCAAUCUGUACUAUUCAUGGUUGCAAACAUUAUCACGACCAAAGAAUAGGAAACAAGUAUAGGUAAAUUGCUCAAUGCUUAAUAGGCAUGAGUUUAUAACUAUAGAGUCACGCGUAUAAGUGUUGACCGAUUGAGCUGGACUUGAAGUGACAGUGUUGACCGAUGCUACAUUGUUAAGCUUUUUGUUGACUGGGUGAUUAUCAUAACUAAUCUAUCAACCAAUGCGUAUGAAAUGCAGUGGAGGAGAAACAACAGUUGUUUAACAAACCAAAGCUAUUUUAUCAAACCUGUGGUCCCUAUCUUGCACACAUGUUUGCUAAACCAAGGCGCUAUGGAAUUGUGACACUAUGAAAGUCAUCAAACAAAAAUAAUACAUUUAGUUAUUAAUGAUAUUUAUGGUAAUUAAUUUUCUUUUAAGUGUUUGUUAUUUAUUUCAUUUGGAAUCAUUUUUGGAAUGCGCAUGAUUGAUUUUGGUCACUGAACAGCAUUUCUUGUUAAAUGGAAAUCCUAGUAAAUUAUAAAUAUAAUUAUUAGUCC
rnacentral:lncRNA from 1 species